rnacentral:rRNA from 1 species
CAGCCGCCACGGGAAUACGGAGGGGGCUAGCGUUGUUCGGAAUUACUGGGCGUAAAGCGCACGUAGGCGGCUUGGUAAGUUAGAGGUGAAAGCCUGGAGCUCAACUCCAGAAUUGCCUUUAAGACUGCCGAGCUAGCAGGUGAGAGAGGUAAGUGGAAUUCCGAGUGUAGAGGUGAAAUUCGUAGAUAUUCGGAAGAACACCAGUGGCGAAGGCGGCUUACUGGCUCAUACUGGACGCUGAGGUACGAAAGCGUGGGGAGCAAACAGGAUUAGAUACCCCUGUAGUCCCUGUCUCUUAUAC